rnacentral:rRNA from 1 species
UACGUAGGGUGCAAGCGUUGUCCGGAAUUAUUGGGCGUAAAGAGCUCGUAGGCGGUUUGUCGCGUCUGCUGUGAAAACUCGGGGCUUAACUCCGAGCUGCUUCCGAUACGGGCAGACUAGAGGUAGCAGGGGAGGAGCGGAACUCCUGGUGUAGCGGUGGAAUGCGCAGAUAUCAGGAAGAACACCGGUGGCGAAGGCGGCUCUCGUGGGCCUUACCUGACGCUGAGGAGCGAAAGCGUGGGUAGCGAACAGG